rnacentral:lncRNA from 1 species
AGGUUUCAUUUCGGAUUGUGAAAAAAUUAUACUAUGUGCCUUAAAAAAGUAUGAUAGAAAAAUAUUUUAUUUGUUUAUGUAAUAUUAUAUUCUGCAUAUCGCGAUGAUUUAGUUAUGAUGUAUUUACUCCGGUUCCAUCGGAGAACGUAAAAGCAUAUCUCUAUAUGCUUUUAUCCCAAUUUCAUUUUAUCUAAUAGCGUCAUAUAGAUCUUAAUACUAAACUAAGCCUAAGGUUUCAUUUGGGAUUACGGAGAAAAAAAAAAGUACGAUGAGAAAAAUCAUGUUUGUUUUCAUAUGUAAUCCACAUAUUGCGAUGAGUCGGUAAUCCCGUUUGUUUCCAUAUGUAAUCAGCAUAUCGCAAUGAGUCGGUUAUAAUAUAUUUUCUGCGGUCUUACCGAAAAACGCAAAAGCAUAUAUAUAUCUAUAUGUUUUUAUCCUAACUUUAUUUUAUUUAAUAGCAUCAAAUUAGCCUCAAUACCAAACUAAGUCUAAAAGCUCUGGAGAGAGAAAAUAAAAAAAAAAAACAAACAUACGGUAAAGUUGAAAAGACUAAAAUUA